UGGGGAAUUUUGGACAAUGGGGGAAACCCUGAUCCAGCCAUCCCGCGUGUGCGAUGAAGGCCUUCGGGUUGUAAAGCACUUUUGGCAGGAAAGAAACGUCGCGGGUUAAUACCCCGCGAAACUGACGGUACCUGCAGAAUAAGCACCGGCUAACUACGUGCCAGCAGCCGCGGUAAUACGUAGGGUGCAAGCGUUAAUCGGAAUUACUGGGCGUAAAGCGUGCGCAGGCGGUUCGGAAAGAAAGAUGUGAAAUCCCAGAGCUUAACUUUGGAACUGCAUUUUUAACUACCGGGCUAGAGUGUGUCAGAGGGAGGUGGAAUUCCGCGUGUAGCAGUGAAAUGCGUAGAUAUGCGGAGGAACACCGAUGGCGAAGGCAGCCUCCUGGGAUAACACUGACGCUCAUGCACGAAAGCGUGGGGAGCAAACAGGAUUAGAUACCCUGGUAGUCCACGCCCUAAACGAUGUCAACUAGCUGUUGGGGCCUUCGGGCCUUGGUAGCGCAGCUAACGCGUGAAGUUGACCGCCUGGGGAGUACGGUCGCAAGAUUAAAACUCAAAUGAAUUGACGGGGGUCGAUAGC
rnacentral:rRNA from 1 species